GACGAACGCUGGCGGCGUGCUUAACACAUGCAAGUCGAACGGAAAGGCCCUGCUUUUGUGGGCUGCUCGAGUGGCGAACGGGUGAGUAACACGUGAGUAACCUGCCCUUGACUUUGGGAUAACUUCAGGAAACUGGGGCUAAUACCGGAUAGGAGCUCCUGCUGCAUGGUGGGGGUUGGAUAGUUUCGGCGGUUGGGGAUGGACUCGCGGCUUAUCAGCUUGUUGGUGGGGUAGUGGCUUACCAAGGCUUUGACGGGUAGCCGGCCUGAGAGGGUGACCGGCCACAUUGGGACUGAGAUACGGCCCAGACUCCUACGGGAGGCAGCAGUGGGGAAUAUUGCACAGUGGGCGGAAGCGUGAUGCAGCAACGCCGCGUGCGGGAUGACGGCCUUCGGGUUGUAAACCGCUUUCGCCUGUGACGAAGCGUGAGUGACGGUAAUGGGAAAAGAAGCACCGGCUAACUACGUG
rnacentral:rRNA from 1 species